GCAUUCGUGGUGUAUCGGUAACAUUGGGUCUUCCCAGACGACAAAAUUUGCAUGGCCUAGCACCGGGUUCGACUCCCGGCGGAUGCA